UUUUUCUGGCUUUAGUGUUACUUCCUGAGAAUGGAGAAUCAUGUUGACAUAAUAAAAAUGAAUAUGAUCAAAUUCAUAAUUAUGCUAAACCUAAGUUUGUAACUAACUGCAUGAUGUUUUAUUAACUGGCUCCAAAAUGGGAAAAUCUUAGCAUUAUUAUUAAUUGGACAUACAGUAUAUUUACAGCAUCAUGCAUGAAGAUGAACAGUGCACUUGGACAUAUGCAAGUGGACACACAAGAACGUUAGGCCUAUGGUCACUCCAGUAAGAACCACAGAGAUUUAGUGUAGGCUUCUGACUCUACCACUCUGACCUUGGCUGGCUGGUCUACCCUAACUAAUCUGGAGUUAUAAGGUGGCUCACAUUUCAGUCGCAGUAGGCAUUCUGCACAAAAGGUAAAUGGAAAAGGAUACCAGACCCUUCGUGACAGAGAAAUAUUAAUAACACUUUCCUCACCCAAAUUAUAAUCCAGUAAUCCUAUCUUAAUUUACUAAAAAGAUUACCCCAGAAUAUUAUUUUAUUAUUGUUCUUUCUUUAAGUCCAAUAUACCAAACCCCGAACUAUUUUUAUACUGAAUUCUGUGAGUCCCUUGAUAAUAAAAAGUGUGUUUUAUUUAUUCUUUGGCUGGCACUCUUUCUUAAUUAAUAUAACAAAUGUUUAUCAGAAUUAUGUGCACAUCAAUGCCCAUGUUUCUACUGUAGUCAGUGGUCAUUGUACUGGGGAAGUUACCUAAAGGAAAAUGGUUUAUUAAUCUGAUAGUAAUCUAAUAAAAUAUUACUGAGCCUCCAAGAGAAAUCUUUUAAAUAGAUUUGAACUAGUGAAUAUAAUUCAGAAUACAGAAAGAAAAAUAAGCUCUCUCUUUUAGCCCUGGAAGUCAGAAAUUUUUGCCAGAUUGGUCAAUUCUACCUGGUCUUUCCUGAUUGUUCUAGAAAGGGAGGUAAUGAGAGAGGCUGGAGAGUAUAUAAAU